UUGAUUGAUUUAUCAUUUUGACUCGGACGCACAGAUGCAGCGUUUAACGGACCGCCGGGGGCCCCGACGCAGAGAGCCGGGUCGCCCCCGAGGCAACAGUGUCGGGUCACAUGGGGUUGGGAGUCGGGGCCAGAGGCCCUUCACUCGGUAAUGAUCCCUCCGCAGGUUCACCUACGGAGA
rnacentral:misc_RNA from 1 species